rnacentral:rRNA from 1 species
AAACCAUGCACCGAAGCUGCGGCAGCGACGCUGAUGCGUUGUUGGGUAGGGGAGCGUUCUGUAAGCCUGCGAAGGUGGCCUGUGAGGGUUGCUGGAGGUAUCAGAAGUGCGAAUGCUGACAUAAGUAACGAUAAAGCGGGUGAAAAGCCCGCUCGCCGGAAGACCAAGGGUUCCUGUCCAACGUUAAUCGGGGCAGGGUGAGUCGACCCCUAAGGCGAGGCCGAAAGGCGUAGUCGAUGGGAAACGGGUUAAUAUUCCCGUACUUGGUGUUACUGCGAAGGGGGGACGGAGAAGGCUAUGUUGGCCGGGCGACGGUUGUCCCGGUUUAAGCGUGUAGGUGUGUGUUCCAGGUAAAUCCGGUUCACUUUAACACUGAGGCGUGAUGACGAGGCACUACGGUGCUGAAGCAACAAAUGCCCUGCUUCCAGGAAAAGCCUCUAAGCAUCAGGUAACAUCAAAUCGUACCCCAAACCGACACAGGUGGUCAGGUAGAGAAUACCAAGGCGCUUGAGAGAACUCGGGUGAAGGAACUAGGCAAAAUGGUGCCGUAACUUCGGGAGAAGGCACGCUGACACGUAGGUGAAGUGAUUUACUCAUGGAGCUGAAGUCAGUCGAAGAUACCAGCUGGCUGCAACUGUUUAUUAAAAACACAGCACUGUGCAAACACGAAAGUGGACGUAUACGGUGUGACGCCUGCCCGGUGCCGGAAGGUUAAUUGAUGGGGUCAGCGCAAGCGAAGCUCCUGAUCGAAGCCCCGGUAAACGGCGGCCGUAACUAUAACGGUCCUAAGGUAGCGAAAUUCCUUGUCGGGUAAGUUCCGACCUGCACGAAUGGCGUAAUGAUGGCCAGGCUGUCUCCACCCGAGACUCAGUGAAAUUGAACUCGCUGUGAAGAUGCAGUGUACCCGCGGCAAGACGGAAAGACCCCGUGAACCUUUACUAUAGCUUGACACUGAACAUUGAGCCUUGAUGUGUAGGAUAGGUGGGAGGCUUUGAAGUGUGGACGCCAGUCUGCAUGGAGCCGACCUUGAAAUACCACCCUUUAAUGUUUGAUGUUCUAACGUGGACCCGUGAUCCGGGUUGCGGACAGUGUCUGGUGGGUAGUUUGACUGGGGCGGUCUCCUCCUAAAGAGUAACGGAGGAGCACGAAGGUUGGCUAAUCCUGGUCGGACAUCAGGAGGUUAGUGCAAUGGCAUAAGCCAGCUUGACUGCGAGCGUGACGGCGCGAGCAGGUGCGAAAGCAGGUCAUAGUGAUCCGGUGGUUCUGAAUGGAAGGGCCAUCGCUCAACGGAUAAAAGGUACUCCGGGGAUAACAGGCUGAUACCGCCCAAGAGUUCAUAUCGACGGCGGUGUUUGGCACCUCGAUGUCGGCUCAUCACAUCCUGGGGCUGAAGUAGGUCCCAAGGGUAUGGCUGUUCGCCAUUUAAAGUGGUACGCGAGCUGGGUUUAGAACGUCGUGAGACAGUUCGGUCCCUAUCUGCCGUGGGCGCUGGAGAACUGAGGGGGGCUGCUCCUAGUACGAGAGGACCGGAGUGGACGCAUCACUGGUGUUCGGGUUGUCAUGCCAAUGGCACUGCCCGGUAGCUAAAUGCGGAAGAGAUAAGUGCUGAAAGCAUCUAAGCACGAAACUUGCCCCGAGAUGAGUUCUCCCUGAGACUUUAGGUCUCCUGAAGGAACGUUGAAGACGACGACGUUGAUAGGCCGGGUGUGUAAGCGCAGCGAUGCGUUGAGCUAACCGGUACUAAUGAACCGUGAGGCUUAACCUU